CGGUGGUCUAAAAUGACUUCGUUUUUUUUUGGUGUCCCUUUGCCCCAUUUUCAUUUCUCUCUCAUUUGUUAAACGCUACCUCGCCAAUACAAAGAUAGGCGAACAGAGGGAGGCCAGGGCAAAAUGACGGAGGUUGAUGGCGAUGGCGGCUAGUUGGUGAGGCGGUGGCGGCUAAUCGGCAAGGCUGAGGUUGUGACGAGGGGCGAUGGCGGCUAGUCGGCGAGGCUGCGGCUGUGACGCGAGGCAAUGGCGAGUCAAUCUCAACUCCACCACUUAUGAUGAUCAAGAUGUUCCCAGCCGUCCCAUGAUGACAAAUGAAGGGUCAUCAAUGAGAUGGACUUCUUCGCCGACGAUGAACACCACCACUCCAAGGCGACAGCCUCCACAGGCGAUGAAAAGGACUUGCCUGGACCUGCCCAAUUGGAUUUCAAUGUCAAGCUGUAAGUUUUGGAGGAACAAAUAUUGAUCCGAUGGCAUGGGAGCACAAAAAAACCUCGGGAAUCCCGUUUCCCUGCUCUGACACUUUCAGGUUGAGACACUAUUGACCUUCAACCUCUAAUUAUGGACAGUAUUAUCAUUUUUGGUCACAUUGUUGUGCAUGCUCCUCAUUGGAGAUACAUAGAAGUUGAUACAAAGACUUUUUGGAAAGUGAUGAGGCGCUCCUACGAAUUCUAAGAAAGAACAAGUUUGAAACUCAUAUUUAUUUUUUGUGAAAAGAGUACAUAUGCUAGCUACGAUCUAGAUUUUGUAAAGUUUCCUAUCAAUGUGAAUUUUAGUUUUGUAAA